AGUUUGAUCCUGGCUCAGGAUGAACGCUAGCGGCAGGCUUAACACAUGCAAGUCGAGGGGCAGCACGGGUAGCAAUACCUGGUGGCGACCGGCGAAAGGGUGAGUAACGCGUGAGCAACGUGCCCGUAUGUGGGGGAUAGUCGAUGGAAACGUCGCGUAAUACCCCGUAACACAAGGAACCGCAUGAUUCUUUGUUGAAAGAUUUAUUGCAUACGGAUCGGCUCGCGUGCCAUUAGCUAGUUGGCGGGGUAACGGCCCACCAAGGCGACGAUGGCUAGGGGUUCUGAGAGGAAGGUCCCCCACAUUGGAACUGAGACACGGUCCAGACUCCUACGGAGGCAGCAGUGAGGAAUAUUGGACAAUGGCCGGAAGGCUGAUCCAGCCAUGCCGCGUGCGGGAGGACGGCCCUAUGGGUUGUAAACCGCUUUUGCGGGGAGCAAUAAGGUGCACGUGUGCACCGAUGAGAGUACCCUGCGAAUAAGCAUCGGCUAACUCCGUGCC
rnacentral:rRNA from 1 species